AGCGUACACGGUGGAUGCCCUGGCAGUCAGAGGCGAUGAAGGACGUGCUAAUCUGCGAUAAGCGUCGGUAAGGUGAUAUGAACCGUUAUAACCGGCGAUUUCCGAAUGGGGAAACCCAGUGUGAUUCGUCACACUAUCAUUAACUGAAUCCAUAGGUUAAUGAGGCGAACCGGGGGAACUGAAACAUCUAAGUACCCCGAGGAAAAGAAAUCAACCGAGAUUCCCCCAGUAGCGGCGAGCGAACGGGGAGCAGCCCAGAGCCUGAAUCAGUGUGUGUGUUAGUGGAAGCGUCUGGAAAGGCGCGCGAUACAGGGUGACAGCCCCGUACACAAAAAUGCACAUGCUGUGAGCUCGAUGAGUAGGGCGGGACACGUGGUAUCCUGUCUGAAUAUGGGGGGACCAUCCUCCAAGGCUAAAUACUCCUGACUGACCGAUAG
rnacentral:rRNA from 1 species